rnacentral:rRNA from 1 species
UACGGAGGUCCCGAGUGUUGUCCGGAUUUAUUGGGCGUAAAGCGAGCGCAGGUGGUUUAUUAAGUCUGGUGUAAAAGGCAGUGGCUCAACCAUUGUAUGCAUUGGAAACUGGUAGACUUGAGUGCAGGAGAGGAGAGUGGAAUUCCAUGUGUAGCGGUGAAAUGCGUAGAUAUAUGGAGGAACACCGGUGGCGAAAGCGGCUCUCUGGCCUGUAACUGACACUGAGGCUCGAAAGCGUGGGGAGCAAACAGG